AUACGUAGGUGGCAAGCGUUGUCCGGAAUUAUUGGGCGUAAAGCGCGCGCAGGCGGUCUCUUAAGUCUGAUGUGAAAGCCCACGGCUCAACCGUGGAGGGUCAUUGGAAACUGGGAGACUUGAGUGCAGAAGAGAAGAGUGGAAUUCCACGUGUAGCGGUGAAAUGCGUAGAGAUGUGGAGGAACACCAGUGGCGAAGGCGACUCUUUGGUCUGUAACUGACGCUGAGGCGCGAAAGCGUGGGGAGCAAACAGGAUUAGAUACCCUGGUAGUCCGCGCCGUAAACGAUGAGUGCUAAGUGUUAGAGGGUUUCCGCCCUUUAGUGCUGCAGCAAACGCAUUAAGCACUCCGCCUGGGGAGUACGGCCGCAAGGCUGAA
rnacentral:rRNA from 1 species